CAAAAAUAAAAUCAAGAUGGAAGACAAACACAACAUUUGUAUGGUUUCUGACUUCUUUUAUCCAAACAUGGGAGGAGUGGAGAGUCACAUCUAUCAGCUUUCCCAGUGUCUCAUCGAUCGCGGACACAAGGUAGUAGUAGUCACCCAUGCUUAUGGAAAGCGAAGUGGAGUUCGCUACGUAACAAAUUACCUGAAGGUAUUU